GGUGGCUCAGUGAUAGAGCACUUGCCUUGCAUGCAUGAGGCCCUGGGUUCAAUUCUUCAGCACCA
rnacentral:tRNA from 1 species